UGCAGAAACCAUACUUUCUGUUAACCAGC
rnacentral:piRNA from 1 species